CCCCCCCCCCCCCCCCUUCUGUCAGGGCAGCGGAGCGGCUCCGCCCCGGUGCUGGCAGAAUGAGGUGAAAAUGCCCCCGCACAGCCCCCGAGCCGGCUCCAAGCGCCCUGCUCAAUAAUUCAAGUGAGCUGAGCUGCCUUCGGCUGGGCAGCAGAAGGGAGGGGGCGUGCUGGGGCGGGCAGACGGGGAGCCCUGCGGAGAGUGCCGGGAUGCACCUAUCGGAUGCACAGCCUUCUGAUGGCUGAAAUUAGAUUUUAUAUAGACACACAGCGUGUUUUUGCAUCGCAGCUUGGGCGAUUGCCUCGCACCCCCCUAAGCGGCGGCUCCUUGGCCCCGGAGUCUGCAGCUCGGGCUGCCUCGUGGCGUGCCUCGAGGGAGGGGAAGGCCCGAGGGAAAGGCCGGAGCUCCGCAGGGUGUGAGGCAGCCCCAGUUAAGCUGGGCAGGCUGCUGGGGGGGGUUUAUUUUAGCCUCGCAUGUCUGAAUUUAUUGAGAGACUUCACAGUGGCCGUAAAGUACUUAAGAACCUAUAUAUACAUUUUUGAAAAGAACACCAUUGGUGUCACGGAGCUAGCUCUGGCAUGGGAUAUAGCAGCUGGGUACCACAGAACAGCAGCACGGCCAUAUCAAGGUCAAAGUCCCACUGCCCAGUGUCAUCACAUUCAAAUCCCACAGUAA
rnacentral:lncRNA from 1 species